rnacentral:tRNA from 2 species
UGCGGGAUGGAGCAGUGGUAGCUCGUUGGGCUCAUAACCCAAAGGUCGUAGGUUCGAGUCCUGCUCCCGCUA